GCCGAGGUGGUGAAAUUGGCAGACACGCUAGCUUCAGGAGCUAGUGGGCGCAAGCCCUUGCGGGUUCAAAUCCCGCCCUCGGCACUA
rnacentral:tRNA from 1 species